AGUGUGUACAAGAGACAGUGAGAGAGAGCACAAGGAGAAGGGGAGGGGCAGAGGGAAAAGCACACUCCCCACUGAGCAGGGACCCCCCCUAGUGUGGGGCUUGAUCCCUGGACUCAGGAUCAUGAACUGAGUUGAAGGCAAAUGCUUAACUGACUGAACCACCCAGGCUUCCCUAGACUUUCAAAUGUAUUUAGAUUUUGGCAUUACAAGCCUUUUUUCCAAAGAAAUAGUAUGCAGAAAUCUGUGUAAACAGAUGAAAGUGAAAUAUCUCUGAUUGAAGUGAGCACUACUCCUUCCCUAUUCUAGGUUGGAACUUCUUGGGCCUCCCCAUCCUGGGGCCCAGAGCCCUUGAGACUCUACCAGCUAUCUUGGGAUAAGCCUAGGAAACUUCUGGACCAGUUGCUUCCCAAAGAUCCUGCUCACUGACACUUCCAAAUCUGCUUUAUCUGGAUAUGGAGCACACCCAGAGUAAUUGGUCUGCUUUAAUUUGUGAGCCCUGGGAACUGAGUCACUGAACUGGACACAUUUCUUCCUACCAAAGCAGUCUCUGUUAGUGAGAAGAAGAUUGAGAGCAAUCAUAUGGCAAAAUCCUGUGAACAGGGAAAAUCCAAGGCAGAAGACCAGAGGCAUUCACAGAAGAAUCCCUGGAUAUUUGGUAGAUGGUGAGUACUCAUGGCAUAUGGAUGGAUACCAGUAUUUCAUGCUAUGGUCUUUUUGUUUUUCUU
rnacentral:lncRNA from 1 species